GCCUACGGGGCGCAGCAGUGGGGAAUAUUGCACAAUGGGGGAAACCCUGAUGCAGCGACGCCGCGUGAGUGAAGAAGUAUCUCGGUAUGUAAAGCUCUAUCAGCAGGAAAGAUAAUGACGGUACCUGACUAAGAAGCCCCGGCUAACUACGAGCCAGCAGCCGCGGUAAUACGUAGGGGGCAAGCGUUAUCCGGAUUUACUGGAGGUAAAGUGAGCGUAGACGGCAGCGCAAGUCUGGAGUGAAGUGCCGGGGCUCAAC
rnacentral:rRNA from 1 species